rnacentral:rRNA from 1 species
AUUGAACGCUGGCUGCAGGCCUACCACAUGCAAGUCGAGCGAGAGACGGACGGGUGAGUAAUGUAUGGGGACUGCCAGAUAGAGGGGGCUAACUACUGGAAACGGUGGCUAAUACCGCAUACUAUCGGAUAACCAAUAUGGGAUUGGCUAGUAUGUGGUGUAAAGGCUCACCUAGUCGACAAUCUCUAGCUGGUAUGAGAGGAUGACCGUCCAAACUGGGACUGUGACAAGGCCCAGACUCCUACGGAGGCAGAAGGGGGGAAGAUUGCACAAUGGGCGCAAGACUGAUGCAGCCAUGCCGCGUGUAUGAAGAAGGCCUUAGGGUUGUAAAGGACUUUCAGCGGGGAGGCGUUACCCGCAGAAGAAGCACCGGCUAACUCCGUGCCAGCAGCCGCGGUAAUUC